UGGGGAAUAUUGCACAAUGGGCGAAAGCCUGAUGCAGCGACGCCGCGUGAGGGAUGACGGCCUUCGGGUUGUAAACCUCUUUCAGCAGGGACGAAGCGCAAGUGACGGUACCUGCAGAAGAAGCACCGGCUAACUACGUGCCAGCAGCCGCGGUAAUACGUAGGGUGCAAGCGUUGUCCGGAAUUACUGGGCGUAAAGAGUUCGUAGGCGGUUUGUCGCGUCGUUUGUGAAAACCAGCAGCUCAACUGCUGGCUUGCAGGCGAUACGGGCAGACUGGAGUACUGCAGGGGAGACUGGAAGUCCUGGUGUAGCGGUGAAAUGCGGAGAUAUCAGGAGGAACACCGGUGGCGAAGGCGGGUCUCUGGGCAGUAACUGACGCUGAGGAACGAAAGCGUGGGUAGCGAACAGG
rnacentral:rRNA from 1 species